UACGAAGGGGGCUAGCGUUGCUCGGAAUGACUGGGCGUAAAGGGCGCGUAGGCGGCUCACAGAGUCGGACGUGAAAUUCCUGGGCUUAACCUGGGGGCUGCGUUCGAUACCUGUGGACUAGAGUGGGGAAGAGGGUCGUGGAAUUCCCAGUGUAGAGGUGAAAUUCGUAGAUAUUGGGAAGAACACCGGUGGCGUAGGCGGCGUCCUGGACCAACACUGACACUGAGGAGCGAAAGCCAGGGGAGCAAGCGGG
rnacentral:rRNA from 1 species